AUUUGUCCUGAGGGGCAGUGGGCAAAACUAUGAAGGCAGAAGCCCGGCUGGGACCCCAGCUCACUGCCUGGACGGCCGUGGAUGGAUUCAUUUCCUUUCUGUCUUCCAUGCGCCUUGGCUGGCAGGAAGGACCUGGCUGGCCCCUCUCCACGCCCCUUCACCUCCAUAAGCCUACGCGUAGUCUGUUCCUGCCAGCCUGUUUGAGGCUGAGAACUUGGUUCACUUCUGCCCCGUGACCCUCCCCAGCCAUGGAUUCGUGCUUCUUCAGUAUGAUCGAAUCUUCUUCCGCAUAAACAUUUCAGGAUCUGGGGAGUGUCUCAACCAAGGGGUUCACCCGUCGGCCCCAGCCCCAUCCUUUAACCAACUUUUGGGUCUGAAUUCCCCGCUUGAAAGCAAACAUUCAUCCAGCAGCACCCGCGAUGGGCCCACUAGGUCUCUGAAUAGUGGGAGCUGCCAUUGACCAAGUGCCUCCUCCAUGUAGACCCAGCAGGAACUGUAUCCAUAUAUUUGUACCCUUACACUCUCCCUGUCCAGAUUGGAAUUGUUUCUCCAUUUCGCCCAGAGAGGUUAAGUGACUCAUCGAAGCUCUCACAGCCUGCAAGAGGUAGAGCUGGGAUUAGAAUCCAGAACCCUAUGACUCCAAUGCCUUGGGCUCAUGCUGUAUGACCCAUCACGGAGACCCGCAUCCCUGGUUAGGCCACAGCAUCCAGGGACAUCCCGCAUCUGUGCCCCUGCCCCCCGGGGCACCCCGGAAGGCUUCUCCUCCACCAGCCUAAGGGCUCUCUAAUCCUGAAUCAUAAAUGCCCAGGGACCACGGCCCAGAAAGGACAGUCAGACCCACUGAGCAGUCUCUCCAUGGUGUUCGUCGGCAGGGGGGGGGGCUCCCUCCCUGGCUCAGGCAGCCAGGCGUGCACCGCGGCCGUCUCCAAGCAGCAGUAGGAUGAAUACCUGACGGUGAUUAGCUAAAUCAUAACAUCGCUCAUGCCAUGCGUAAGUGAUGAACCGACUGGCGCCAGGCCGCGCUGAGCGGCAGCGGGCCCCCCCCCCCCCACCGCUCACCCCCACCCCAGCCCGGAAAAGCCACCACAGUGCUGCCUCCCUGUGUUAUCUGGCACAUCAAGUCCUGCGACAAUGAAUAUAGAUUGACCUUAUUAUAGCAGCCGGCUGCUGAUGCCAGGCGCAGCCAGGCAUACUUUGCACAAAUUAAAGGUGUCAGCAUGUAAUUUACGGUUCAUGGCGAAAAAGGGUGGGGGGGAGGCACUGGGGCAGGUAGAAGGGAAGGUGGGCCGACUUCGGGGCUUGCACCAGGAGCCCACGCACUAAUGAUAGCAGGUGCCGCCGAUGUGUCAUUUCAUUCCGGUUUGCGCAUUUUUAGCUACUCCCUGCUCAAGGGGAGCAGCCCCCUCUCCUAAGCGCCACCCCCCACCCCUGCAAGCUCUGUGUGCGUGCGUGUGUGUUUUUCAGCUAAAUUACUGGUUUUACCUGAAGAGCGUAAAGUAGGUGUGCUAAUUUACGGCUCGGCAGAUAAAGCCGCAGUGUGGGGCGCUGUCUGGGAAGCCUGCAAUACAACAUCAUUUUACUAACACACCCGAGAGCAGCUUGACAUCUCGAGUUGGGCCUGUGAUUAAAGUGGUAGUCUUCCCCCCGCCUCCCUCUCCCUGCUCCAACACGGGGAACAGAUUAAACUCGAAGCAAUAGAUCUCGGUUUUCUUGCCAUACCACUGAUAUUCACAGUACACAGUUUGACACAAAGAGUAAGUUAUACAUCACAGACAACAGCCUCUGCUCUUUACCGUCCAGAAUUAAUUUUCCAUUUGCUAAGCUUCCUGCUUCUCUGAGCCCAUUUUCCUGCCGCCGAGCGGGGCUCCAUUCUAGAAAAGGCAGGGGAGGAAAACCUCGGGUCAGGACUGGAAAAGGAUGGCUAGCUUCGCCCCUGGGGUUUACAGAUGAGGCCAGCAGGGCCCGAAGCGGGGAGGUGACUUCCUGCCGUCGUCCUGUGUGCUGGUGGCAGAGAUGGGGCUGAAAGCCCGUCUUCCCAUGGCUGUGUCAGGCACGUCCCCCCAAGCCCUGCAGAGUGGAGAAGGUGGGCGGGGUGUGGAGAAGCUGGGAGAUCGCCAGGCUGCUUGAGUAGCUGGUUACUCUCUGCUUGCCUCCUACCCACUCCACAACCUGCAAAACUCUCUCUGCCCUUCUCUGCGCCCCCAGGAGGGGACCUCUAGGGGCUCCUGGUACCUCUGGCUGCUGCCUGGCCUUGGCCAAUGGAAGGUACCAGAAUGAGAAGGGAAGGUGGGAGGAGAAAGAUGGGUCUUUUUGCCCUUUGCUUCUCCCUACCAUGAUGCUGUGGCUCUGGGAAUGGCCACCUCCCUCUGUGACUACACUCUUGGGGGAUGGCCCCACUUCCACAGCUCUAGCUCCUGGUGGGCUCUGGCAAUGCCAUCUGCCCCUGCCUCUCUUGGUGUGGGGUGCUAGCCCCGCCUGGCAUCGCAGAGGCUCGGGACCCCUUUGGAUCCCCUGACCUUAUCCCCCUCUGUCAGCAUUCCCUGCAUUCCUGUCCCUCCCAUUGAACCCAUUGUGGGGCAUUCUGUUUCCUGGGAAUUCCGUUUCCUGCAGGACAGCCGCUGGUGUCAUUUGAAAGGUUCUGGAGAACUCUGAGCAACACCUCUUCUUUGUGGAGGACCCACGCUUGCCUGAGUCCUCUGCCUGCAGGCACACACCAGGCGGCAGGUGUCCAAAUCUCCCUUGGCAACCCAGGAAGUCAGGGGCCCUCCGGAAACCUUCUGGCAUGAACCCAGCUGUCCCUUCAAGGCCUCUGAUCUCCCCCUUCCACCAAGCCCUGUGGGAUCUCUGGGAUGUCAUGGCUGGAGAGAGACAAACGUACAUGGUACUGGACACUGGAUUUCUCCAUCUGGGUUCUCAGAGCUCAAGGAGUCAGGAGUCAUGGUGGGAAGGACCGUGGGAAAUAAAUUCAGGAUCUCCAAGACCACUUGUCAUUGCUGGCCCCAUCCUGACCGACUUAUCUAGAAAAAACACAAGUCACAGGCCAGGGAGAGGCCGGACCUCUGCGUUCCCGAACAUGCCCAUGGAGGCAGGCACAGCCCCCCUGCGGGUUUCUCCUUUGAUUGAUACCUCGAGUGGAUCCAGGGGCACACCUGGGCUGGAGCUGCACCUGUGGAAAGGUAAAGAAGGGACGAAGGGGAGCUGGAGAGACCAGGGCCAGUCAUUUCAGAGUUUUAUGAAGAUCUGAGUAUUAGCACAUCGUUUAAAUCAUCGUCCCCCAGAAGAAUUGCUUAGGUAUGGUUUGUCUAUAGAUGAAGACAUCAGGAUACACGGUGUAAAAUAUUUAUCUGCACCUUUAAAUCUGAACACACAUGAAAUGAGGCAAAAUGUUUACUACCCCAACAGCUGGCACCAGAAUUCCCCAGCGAAUAGGCACUGUCUUUGAGAAGUUUCCUGGACUGGGGACAGACCCUGAAGACCAAGUUGUCAGCUGGACCCCCAAAUAAUAAAAAUGGAAAAAUUUUAACUUUUGUUUCUGGGGGAGGGUAGGAAAAAAAAAUAGAAGACCAAAAAAGAGAAAAAGAAAGAGAGACAGAGUUGCUGAUAAGACGGUGAGAUGCUGGAUAAUUUUUGGGGUGGCAGAGCCCACUGGAAAUGUACGGUGGUGGGGGGGAGUGAGAGGGGUCUUUAAGGAGUCAGCAUGUGGCUCUGCACUACUUUGCCCCUUUUCUAAAUGAAAAGAAAACAAAGAUGAGUGUGGCUUCGGGAUGUUUGUCAUGCCGUGUGCUCAGAACCGUAGAACCAUAUUAGGACAUCUCUCCCGUCUGGUGCUUUGGUGAGCUGGUCCCUGCAGCCUGGGAAGAGGCUGGGCUUCCCAGGGGCAGCAUCUCCAGCAGCAGAAAGCAGAGGGGCAGCGGGAGGGAGGCCUGCAGGCAGGGGCAGGCCCUGCCCCGCCCCGGGGAAGACUAGGGGAGACCCUGCACCCCCCUGAGGCAAGGAUCUGUGGUUUCAGCCACACUGAUCUAGAUUUUAAGGUUGGAUGGGGGGCUCCAGCUGACAGCUGGGACACCACACAUAUUCCACCAAAUGAUGAGGCCAGGUGCCAACUUAUUUCCAGAUUCUGGUGCCGGAGAUAUUGGAAAAGCACUUAAGGAAAACAAAGCAGAGAAUGUGAGGCAGACACUAAUUCACAAAGAGAUUGUAGACACAGUUGCUGUAAUGAGACUAGCAAUUCAAGGAAGGGUGAUUCCUAAGAUUGAUCACAUGUUUGCAUUGUCAGGCCCUUGACCCCCCAGAGUCUAGGAGGGGGGCAGAAGGAGGUGUGACUCAGUCACGCACUGCCCUGGGCUGUCUAAUCCUCCCUCCGGGGGGUAUCAGUGAGCCACGAGGGCCUGCUGGGGCAUUGUGAACAGCCUGUGAAAGCAGGGCUCUGUCGGGUGGUCCCCGCCCAGGUCAGCUCACACAGGGCACCGGGUCCUCACCUCAAAUCAUCAGGUCGAGCUCGCCUUGCAUUUCUUCUCUCACCUCUGCAGGGCCUUGUAACUAGGGACUC